ensembl:lncRNA
CAUGUUCUUUUUCCUUUCUGUCUUUUUUUACACGUCCGUGAAGAUCUUUUUGAUGUUCACGCAGUUCUGGUUUUUCUCGGUGGUGAAGUUGGGCUGCCCGAACGCACUGUUGAUGCCCUCCUCGAUCACCAUGUACUCGGACUUGCUGAGCGACGAGGAGCUGCAGGACCGCCUCAGCACCUCCGGGGGCAGGUGCUCCAGGUGCUCCAGGUGCUCCAGGUGUUCCAUGUGCUCCAGGUGCUCCAGGUGCUCCAGGUGCUCGCAGCUGCCCGAGCUCGCGUAGAGCGGCGGCUCCUCUCCCUCGGUCUCCCGGUGGUAGAAGUAGUUGAAAUUGGACACAAUCACCGGCACGGGCAAGGCAAUGGUGAGCACGCCCGCUAUCGCGCACAAGGACCCCACUAUUUUGCCCCCGAUGGUCACCGGAUGCAUGUCCCCGUAUCCGACCGUGGUCAUGGUGACGACCGCCCACCAGAACGCGUCUGGGAUGCUGGUGAAGCUGGACGAGGGGUCGUCCGCCUCGGCGAAGUAGACCGCGCUGGAGAAGAGGAUGACUCCGAUGAACAGGAAGAAGAUGAGCAGACCGAGCUCCCGCAUGCUGGCCUUGAGGGUCUGUCCCAGAAUCUGAAGGCCCUUCGAGUGUCGCGAGAGCUUGAAGAUGCGAAAGACGCGCACCAGUCGGAUCACCCGCAGGAUGGCGAGGGACAUCGCCUGCUGGCCGCUGCUGUUGGUCUGCCUCUCGGCCAGCUGCCUGAAAAAAAAAGAGAAAGGUUCUAGGGCAUGGGAAAACCUCUCACCGUCAGGAAUACUGGAGCGAAACAGAAACGCAGACUUCAGUCGUGUAAUAAAUCAAGGUGACACGUGUAUUUUGUGUUUAAAAAUAUCAAGAGGAAAAACAAAUUUAUUUAAUUUAUCUGUUCCACUACUGUACUGGGAACCCCUUGGGUAAACGUCCUCCGUUUGGCCAGGGACCUGAAAGCACCGCAGAGACUUCAUGUUGGCUCUGUACUGAUGUUGAUUUUAAAAUUGCUGAGGUCUAAAGUUCAAAUGACCCACAUGUUUUGACUUGCCACCAAAUCGUUGUAAAAUCAUACAUUUAAUGUUUUAGAAAAAUAUAUUCUGUACACGUCUCUGGCCACUAAAUGAUUUGUCGAAAGACUUCUGCAACAGAAAAAAACGACCAAAAUUUUAAGAAGACAGAUCUUCAAGCCAAACAGGUUAAAAACGUUAAAAAAAAUUUAUAAAAUAGAGAUAAAUAAAUGAAACCAAAGAUAUAAAACAGAAUAAGUGCUGCAGUAUGCUAAUCCUACCUGAUACCAUGUUAACAUGACAAAAGAAUUAAAGCAAAUUAAUAGGCAAUCACAUCAAACAUUAUUUGGUUUCGUCUUCUCCACCUUGACAAUUUAGAUCCCCCCCUUUGUUUUAUAACUUUGAAAACUUAAAGCCACAGUGAGUAAUUUUUUUAAUUUUCUGGCGGACCUGGUGGUAAAGUUGCAAAUCGCAAUCAACGGAGCAUCCGAGAGGGGACACUUUAUGGUGGCGCACCGCUGAUUCCAUUUCCGUUUCCGGCAGCGCAGAAAAUUCAACGCGAAUGUGACGUAUUCUGGACCGUUUUGUGCAACAACCGUAUUCAACACGACGUAGCAAACAUGGAGACUCACACGGAGGUCGGGUCCACCUCAUUCAAAGUUGACGAAAACCCUUGGUUCUUUGCUGCAGGUGAUUAAUCAUAUAUGAACACAGUUUUUGACAAUAUAUUAAAUUUCUGUGAAUAAGUUCUUCUGAAUAUAACACACUGUAGCUUUAAUAUCGUUUGGUUUUGGACUACAAAUGAGACGCUGAUCAGUAGAAUGGCUUUAAACAAUUUUUCUUGAUUCAUUUUGUCACGGAAAUUCCUGCAAUUUAUGAUAAAGCGGUUUUCUUUUUACCUUUUUUUAACCUUAUGUUUUUUUAAACAUAUUUCAAAUUACUUCAGUUUAAAUAAGAUAAUCAGAUGAAAAAUAAUAGGGCUACAGAGGAUGAUCAAAGGUCUUCAAAGUAAAAAUAUGUACACAAAUAUGUAUGUUUAGCUCAGCUCGCAGUGUGGGACAGUUACUAUUGGACGGUAAUGUAGGGGUUAAGAGAGACUUAUCAAUACAGGCAUUGAUCGUCUUCUCCCUUUGAUUUCAACAAGCUGAUUGCCGAGCGAUGUGUGUUGAUAUGUAGUCCACGUCACAACUUAUAGAUUCAUGUUGCUUAACUGAUUUUCUACUAUCUGCUAAUGUUGAAGUGAUUAUCACUUUUUCUUCUAAAUCACCUAAUGUCACAUAAACACAAUGCAGCCACACGUGCUCAUCAACAGCAAUAAUAAUAAUAAAAGAAAAGAUAACUCACAGUGUGAAAGUCAUGCUGCUACAAACAACCUCCCAGUAGUAGUCGCAACUCAGUGAUCAAGGGAAGUUGUGUCUGGGUUUCAGUCUCCAUGGCAGCUAAACAUUGGGGUAAAAAGGGAAAAGGAGUUAAGGUGAAGUUGCAUAAUUUCCCAGUCGAAACUUGUGCACGAGCAAAUAGACCAGAAACAAUUUUUCACAUCAUUCCCACUGAGAAAUGAACAUGUUACAUA